rfam:Triticum aestivum genome assembly, contig: Triticum_aestivum_CS42_TGACv1_scaffold_445507_5DL
CUUGUACUCCCUCCGUCCAAAAAUACUUGUCAUUGAAAUGGAUGUAUCUAGAUGUAUUUUAGUUCUAGACACAUCCAUUUUGAUCACAAGUAAUUCCGGACGGAGGGAGUACUUG